UUCUCAUCUUUCAGAGCAGCCGCUGGUAGAGUCUCUCUUGUCCUCGAUGGUGUGGUUGUGAGGGUGUGAGACUCAAAGCUGCUGUAGCCGUUCACAACCAGCAGGAGAGUUGCGGAACUGCCCGAGGACAAACCAGACGUGGGAAGUCACAAGGAACCAAAAACUCCAUCCUAAAGAGACUCGAACAACAAGCAGAUUGAUGAUCUACAUAUGGAGAAGUCCCAAGAUGACAAUGAAGCCCCAGGAGACAGACCUUCCUAAGGUGGAAGGAGCCCAGGUCCCUGCAUGGAAGAGAGCCACCCUGGUCCAGGAAAACAGUCCUGCCAGGAAUGUUUGUGACCCAUAGGUGUAGUUCGUAGCCUGGAAACAAGCACCUCCCUGCACAGCUUGUGCAGCCUCGGAUUCCCCACGUGAACUUAGAUUCCUAAGACCUCCCAACAUCGCAGGAGAGAGGUGGAUGCGUUCGAGC